AUGGGGGCAUGUGCACACUCUGUUUGCAUCCACUCACACCUGUGCACCCCUGCAGUUCUAUGGUCUGGGAGACUCUGUCUUCCUUCUGUGGUUCUGCGUCUUUACACACACACUGUAACCUGGUCUCAUGGAAUGUAUGUAGCGUUUAACGCAAUAUAAUACAACUUUCAGCAACGGAUCUCUUGGCUCUCGCAUCGAUGAAGAACGCAGCGAAAUGCGAUAAGUAAUGUGAAUUGCAGAAUUCAGUGAAUCAUCGAAUCUUUGAACGCACCUUGCGCCCUUUGGCUAUUCCGAAGGGCAUGCCUGUUUGAGUAUCGUGAACACUUCAACUCUCAUGGUUUACCGUGAUGAGAUUGGACUCUGGAGGUUUUGCUGGCCCUCGGUCAGCUCCUCUCAAAUACAUUAGCUUACCGGUUUAUGGUGGCGCCACAGGUGUGAUAACUAUCUGCUCUUGUGGCCGUACGCCAGAUAGCCUUCAACACUGGAGGUUUGCUGGGGCUCACAAAUGUCUCUCCUUGUGAAGACAGCCUUUUGAACGUUUGAUCUCAAAUCAGGUAGGACUACCCGCUGAACUUAAGCAUAUCA
rnacentral:rRNA from 1 species